rnacentral:rRNA from 1 species
CCUACGGGUGGCAGCAGUGGGGGAUAUUGGACAAUGGGGGAAACUCUGAUCCAGCGACGCCGCGUGCGUGAAGAAGUAUUUCGGUAUGUAAAGCUCUAUCAGCGGGGAAGAAGGAAGACGGUACCCGACUAAGAAGCCCCGGCUAAAUACGUGCCAGCAGCCGCGGUAAUACGGAGGGGGCGAGCGUUAUCCGGAUUUACUGGGUGUAACGGGAGCGUAGACGGCGGCGCAAGUCUGAAGUGAAAGGCCGUGGCUCAAGCGCGGAACCGCUUUGGAAACUGCGAGGCUGGAGUGCGGGAGAGGUAAGCGGAAUUCGUGGUGUAGCGGUGAAAUGCGUAGAUAUCAGGAGGAACACCGGUGGCGAAGGCGGCUUACUGGACAGUGACUGACGUUGAGGCUCGAAGGCGUGGGGAGCGAACAGGAUUAGAUACCCUUGUAGUC